rnacentral:rRNA from 1 species
UACCAGCACCCCGAGUGGUCGGGACGUUUAUUGGGCCUAAAGCAUCCGUAGCCGGUUCUACAAGUCUUCCGUUAAAUCCAGCUGCUUAACAGAUGGGCUGCGGAAGAUACUAUGGAGCUAGGAGGCGGGAGAGGCAAGCGGUACUCGAUGGGUAGGGGUAAAAUCCGUUGAUCCAUUAAAGACCACCAGUGGCGAAGGCGGCUUGCCAGAACGCGCUCGACGGUGAGGGAUGAAAGCUGGGGGAGCAAACCGG